rnacentral:rRNA from 1 species
GACGAACGCUGGCGGCGUGCUUAACACAUGCAAGUCGAACGGAAAGGCCCUGCUUUUGUGGGGUGCUCGAGUGGCGAACGGGUGAGUAACACGUGAGUAACCUGCCCUUGACUUUGGGAUAACUUCAGGAAACUGGGGCUAAUACCGGAUAGGAGCUCCUGCUGCAUGGUGGGGGUUGGAAAGUUUCGGCGGUUGGGGAUGGACUCGCGGCUUAUCAGCUUGUUGGUGGGGUAGUGGCUUACCAAGGCUUUGACGGGUAGCCGGCCUGAGAGGGUGACCGGCCACAUUGGGACUGAGAUACGGCCCAGACUCCUACGGGAGGCAGCAGUGGGGAAUAUUGCACAAUGGGCGGAAGCCUGAUGCAGCAACGCCGCGUGCGGGAUGACGGCCUUCGGGUUGUAAGCCGCUUUCGCCUGUGACGAAGCGUGAGUGACGGUAAUGGGUAAAGAAACACCGGCUAACUACGUG